rnacentral:rRNA from 1 species
CGCGUAGGCGGCUUGGUCAGUCGGAUGCGAAAGCCCCGGGCUUAACCUGGGAAUUGCAUUCGAUACUGCCAGACUAGAGUGUAGUAGAGGGAAGCGGAAUUCCAGGUGUAGCGGUGAAAUGCGUAGAUAUCUGGAGGAACAUCAGUGGCGAAGGCGGCUUCCUGGACUAACACUGACGCUGAGGUGCGAAAGCGUGGGGAGCAAACA